GUUUUCGUAGUGUAGCGGUUAUCAUGAUCGCCUCACAUGCAAGAAGUCCUCGGUUCAAAACCCAGCGGAAACA